UGUCACGUAGAGAGGAUGAUGACCUGCUGCUAUCUAUUGGUUAGAAAGAUUGUUCUAUACUGAAUGUAUGUGAUAGUCAUUGCUAAAGAAUACGAGUAGUGUAGGUAAGGGAUGAAGUGAAAACGUAUCGGAGGAUAGCUCUCUACUACGAGGUGGGUUGGGCAUGAAAUGACAGCAGGCAUGCUGACUGACAAGUGGCGUGGAUUGGUACACGGCAAUUCCACAGUAGCAGAGUGAAGCUAAGACUCAGAUAGUUCACUCUAAAAUGUGUCAAACAAACCAAUGAUUGCAAAUAGUUAAAAGUAGUACUUGUGCGUAGAGUUGUAUGGUAUGUUCCACUUUGAAAUCAUUGGUUUUUGUUUGACAUACAUUUUAAAGUGAAAAAUCUGAGUGUCAGCAUCCCUCUGUUACUGUAGUAUUGCCCUACAGCUCGGCUCAGUCCAGUCUCACAUUGUGUGUUUUUAAUUAUUUGGCUAAAUGAUUAUCCAUUGUUGCCUCUUUUGAUAUAGCCACAGCAGUCUUAAAAUAAACUGUUACCUUGAAUGAAACAUUAAGAUGUUAAAACAUUUCAACUCCAAUUGAACUUUGUCUGUGACAUCUUAUUGUCCUCUCUCUCACUACAGUUGUUCUCAGGUAACAGGUCAGUGUGUGCAAAGAGAACGCAUUUGACCAGGUGGAGUCAAGCUUCUACCUAUGUACUUCAUCGCCCUGGACCUCUACACCAGCGAGGCAGAGGACACCAAGUUUGGACCAAUUAUGCUAAUGCCCCGCUUUAAGAACCUGGAGAUCUUCACUGGUUCUGAGGGAGGUGACUUGGCCACAAACUGUACCCGGGACACCUUCCAUCGCUACCACUGUCUGAAAAACUGUGUGUACUGAUUCAGUUCUAAAUGACCAUCAUUGAGUCCAUCCUCACCUCCUCCAUCACUGCAAUGGAUUGUCCAGUCUGCUGAGAGGUUCAUUGGGUGCCACCUGCCCUCCAUCGAUGACCUGCACGACUCAAGAGCAAGGAAGCUUGCAGGAAAGAUCAUUGCCGACCCCUUUCGCCCCCUCUUCCAAAGACUCUCUUCUGGCAAACGGUUCAGGUCAAUCACGACCAAAACCUCCCACCACCUGAACAGUGUCCUCCGUGGCCCUCACCAACCGGCCACCUGGUCUGCGAUAAUCCUGUCAUCCAUGGAUUUUGCACUAUUCAUCCACAGACUAUGCACCCUGCAUGAUCAUCCCAGAACUGCACAUUUUAUAAUGUAGCUUAAGGUGUUCAUAGUGUACAUAUACUGUAUGUGGAUCUGUGGACAAUCUGCAUCUGUAUAUUUUUUUGUCUGUAUAUUCUGUAUAUCGUCUGUCUGUAUAUUCUGUUUAUUGUUGCAGCACCAUUUCAUAGAGUCCUGUACAUGCACAUAUAUUUGCAGAAUAAAGCUGAUUCUGACAUGUUAA